rnacentral:rRNA from 1 species
UACGGAGGGUGCAAGCGUUGUUCGGAUUUACUGGGCGUAAAGGGCGUGUAGGCGGUUGGCUAAGUCAGAUGUGAAAUCCCUUGGCUUAACCAAGGAACGGCAUUUGAAACUAGCUAACUAGAGUACAGGAGAGGAAAGUGGAAUUCCCAGUGUAGAGGUGAAAUUCAUAGAUAUUGGGAGGAACACCGGUAGCGAAGGCGGCUUUCUGGUCUGAUACUGACGCUGAGACGCGAAAGCGUGGGUAGCAAACAGGAUUAGAUACCCUGGUAGUCCACGCCGUAAACUAUGGGAACUAGGUGUAGGAAGUGUUGACCCUUUCUGUGCCGAAGCUAACGCAUUAAGUUCCCCGCCUGGGGAGUACGGUCGCAAGGCUAAA